UCCAGAUCCCAAAACCCUGGGUGCAGUGCGAAAGAGGGCCAUCUCUCUCCCAUUUCUCUUCGGCGUCCUCACUCCUCUUCGUUCAGCCGCCCAUCCAUGGCCGCCAUCGCCAGUAGGACUAUGCUUCGCUCCGCCACCACUUCUGCCCGGACUGUGGCGGCAAAAGUGGUUACUGGGGCCAAGCCGAAGCCCUCUUCCUCCCCCUUCCGCAUCCCUGCUCAAAAACCCCUCUCCGCUCGCUUCUUCAGGUCACCAGUUGAAAUGAGCAGUGUUAGCGUGGAAUCGAUGCUUCCUUAUCACACUGCAACAGCUUCUGCAUUGCUAACUUCAAUGCUUUCCGUUUCGCCGCGGAGCUACGGUUGGACUCUUGAAGUUACCUGGACUUCGUGAGAUAGAGAUAUGGCUGCAAGGUAGCAGGGCAGGAGAGGACUAGAUGAAGAUUUUAAAGGAGUUAUUUGAUCAUAUAAGGAUCAUGCUAAUACAUGGUAUUCACUCAGAUUGCAACGAUGAUGUAUGAUGAUUGGAUGUCCAAGCGAAGUUUUUAUCCAUGUGCUGUAGGAGAGAGCACUGGAUUAGCUCCAGAGGAGAAAUAAUAUUAUUCUAGAUGUUGUUUUCUUUUGAGUGCUAGCCUUACUUUGUGUAAAACUACAAAUGUGACAUUAGUCAAGUUUGUUUUCUGGGAGCCAUGUUUUAUUACAUUUUCAGCAAUGAAUUUAGAGAGGUUCUGUAUAGACUAGAUUAAGAAGAUUAUUUGAUAUAUACUUUAGGAAAUGUGAAAUUUUUCUCCUUGCUUGAUUUGGAUUGCUAAUACUGGUUUUAACUGUUGGAAAGAUAUCAUUAGUCUGAUAUCAACCUAUAAUGGUGCAAAGAGUUGCAGAAGUGUACAGGUCAACAUGUCAUUAUCUGGAUUCAUGACUGGGAAUGUUACCAAUCACUUUAGCAUAGUCAUGAAACUAGUUGUUCUAUUCCUGUUGCAACUUAAAUGAUUAAGAUUUUUUGGUUGCA